UAAGUAUUGCAACCGCGCAGGAAAGGUAUAAGUCGAGAGAUCGCACCUUGAUGGCGAGUCUCAGAUUGACA
rfam:Erysipelotrichaceae bacterium NYT-BL-A4 NODE_28_length_26383_cov_190.295_ID_55, whole genome shotgun sequence.